CUGCGCUGAUGAUCAUAGAUGUGACUGACCUGGUAUUGUUGCCCUCCGGGUCGACUCUGACCAGGGAAUGACCUCAGUUAAUCUUCUCUCUGAGCAG